UGUGCUGAGACCGAGCCAUAGUUUGGGAGGAGACUGCAGUCAUCGGAAUGCCCAGGCUCCCAGGAAGCCCCCUUUCUACAGAGCCUCGAGGAAUUGGGCACCCCUCUGGGAGCUCAGCAGCAGGAGCAGCAGCAGGGGCAGGAGCAGCAGCGUGGCCAACCCUUUCACCGGGGUCAGAGUUUCUGCUAUCCAUCUGCUGCCUCUUCGGUUCCCUCGGUCACUGGCAUGCUGUCCAAGGCUGUGUCCAUGAGUGAUAUCAAUCUCCUUUCGGACUGCUCAGAUCCAAAUGGUAACUCACCUCAGUCCUAUGUCACAGACCUCAGCAAAUGGGGUAAACAGCUGGAAGAGGACUCGGGGACCUGGGCAGGCUCCUCCCUGCGACGGACCUUCAGCUUCCUCUUGGGCAUGACCGGCAGG
rnacentral:lncRNA from 1 species